CAGCCGCCGCGGUAAUACGGAGGAUCCAAGCGUUAUCCGGAAUCAUUGGGUUUAAAGGGUACGUAGGCGGUCUUGUAAGUCAGUGGUGAAAGCCCAUCGCUCAACGGUGGAACGGCCAUUGAUACUGCAGGACUUGAAUUAUUGGGAAGUAACUAGAAUAUGUAGUGUAGCGGUGAAAUGCUUAGAGAUUACAUGGAAUACCAAUUGCGAAGGCAGGUUACUACCAAUUGAUUGACGCUGAUGGACGAAAGCGUGGGUAGCGAACAGGAUUAGAUACCCGUGUAGUCCCUGUCUCUUAUAC
rnacentral:rRNA from 1 species